UUAAACUAAAGUAAAACUUAUUGCAUGUGUGCCAAGUGGUCAGAAAGGGAUCACCCAUGCAACUCAUUAUUUUUCUUCAAGCCGAAAAUCCAUGGAGAGAAACAAGCUGAGGUAAUUCAGUCCUUGCAUACAGAAUACCUUCACCUCAUUAUCUCCCUCACAACCGUCAACCCCUCAAGGUAAACACCACAAAUAAUGCUUGCAACCUUUUCUCAUGAUUCCCACAAACCGUAAGCCUCAAUGCGGGCAUCCCCUUCCUCCAUCGUCCCGCUCUCAAUGCGUGACCUUCCUGAGGAGACAGCAAAACGUUAAGCAUAUUCAUCUUUUAAUUCUGGUCAGCCGUGUAACCUUAGGCAAGGAGGUUGAAGCCCAACAUCCUUCCCUCCUCUUGUGCGCACUGUCCUCUUCAAGUAGGAGAAGUUCUGCCGUGUUGGAGUCACUCAUCCCCUGCAUGCAGCUGGUUUCUACGUUUUGGGACAGUGGAGAGUGAAGUGGCUGCCCUUCACUCGAAUGGAUGAUCCUUGGAUGCAGCCAAGAAAGCAAAUCGAGUCCCAAGCCUCCCCUUCCUUUCUCUGAUUCGGCCCCUUGCGUGUGCACAAGUUCUUAGAUAAUGGGACUGUUCGAUGAUGUUUGGAAUGCUUGAUUUAAAAGUAAAGUGCCAAGGAGGACGUAAAAGCUUUUGAGGACUUGGAUAUUUGCUGUUGGCUUCUACUGUUUGGGCAUGCUGCUAUUGAUGUGAUAUUUUAUGGAUGACUGUGUGAAAUUGAGAAGCUUUUAUUACUGUGAACUAUGAUUUUAUUAUUGCCUUAUGAUUUUAUGACCAGCAAGUAUUUUGGAAACAGAUGUUGAAACGUUUGCGAAAAGGAUUUUGACACGUUAUGACCGCUUAAUACGAUGUAAUGUUAAUAUUCCGGGUAUACACGGGGUGUUACAAGCAGCAUGCAUAUCCAGCAUCCAAUCAUGGCAGCAUAAUAUAACAGCAAUCUAACUCAGCUCCGGCCUCCUGCUGCCUGAGGUCUCAACAUUACCUGACCCUGAAAUAAGCAUUCCCCAAAUGUGGGGUGAGAUCUCUAAACUAGAAAUCUCAGUAAGACAAGGGGUCCUCAAGGAUCUUCCACCCCAAGCUCACUUACAUGUGCAAUAUAAGUUCAAAAAACAUUUAUAUCAAUAUCAGUUCCAAAACUAUGUAGUGCAACAGAUAUCUAUGGCAUGUGUGUAAUCACUAUCUACUGGCCAGAGAAUGUAGGAAUACGUCUAUUCCCUACAUGUAGUACAAGGAACACCGCUUGCACCUCACCCACAGCCUCACCCUCUUGUAUGUUCUACAUACUCAGGCUUACCGUAUAGGUGGAACACAUCGAUGCAUAUCAACAAGGCACUAACAUACAAUAGCUCAACAGCAUUUCCAAAACAUCAAAAGCAUGUAACACAGCAUGCAUAUAACCAUAUCCCCAUGGAACAUGGUGGAACCACAACAUGGCUAAACCGAGGACACGAAAGCUUACCUCUAAGCUAGCUAUCCAAUGCCACAAGCUCAAAGUCCAAUCACAGCAGAUCACAAUCUGAUAUAGACCAAAUAUAAAUCAAUAAACAUGUACCACAUGCAUACAAAUUAAAGACAAUGCCUUUUCAUUACGUUUUCAAGUCUUAAAGCUUCUAACAAAGCCAAAGCCCUUAAUCCCAUGAUUCUGGCUUAGUCCAUAAAAUACAGAAGUUCAACUCCAUCAAACUAGGGUCCACAAACCCCCAAUAGCCUACUGUACACACAGCACAACUACUGUUCUGCGAAAUCCCAGAAUAUCCGGAUAUUCCUCGGGACUAUAUCCGGAUAUACAGAUUCCCAUAUCCGGAUAUCCAAUAUCCGGAUAUCCCAAAACCAAUAUCCGGAUAUCCAAUAUCCGAAUAUCCAAUAUCCGGAUAUCCCAAAACCACAUAUCCGGAUAUCCAAUAUCCGGAUAUCUGUUCGACAAAUAUCCGGAUAUUUCACGACAGAAUGCAGUUUCUGCAUUUUCGUGAAGAUAUCCCUUAAAGGUUCCCUUUUUACCGAUUUUAAACACCUAAUCAUGCAUUUCUAGGCGUGUUCAACAUUACCCAACAACAAGUUAUCAUCUUUUAGUCAUUAGAUGCAUCAAGGUACCAUUUUUAAGCCUUAAAACUUAAGAUAAAGGUUGGUACAACAUACCAAGGCUCAAAACUCAGAAUGGAGAUGCUCUUGGAGCUCAACACAGCUCCUCACAAUUCUGACUAAGAAGGUGCACGAAAAUGCACAACAAGAUGACUCAUUUAUCCACAAAGAUAGACACUUGGAGUUCACAAAUGGUAAGACCAAGGCUUCCACUACUCAACCCUCAAGACUGACUCAAACAGUGGCUAAGACUCAGAAAAUACCAUUCUUUCACUCCCACAAGGAUGCUCCCAAGUGUUUACAAGGUGGAAAUGUGAAGAAAAUCAAGAAAGAUCACAACUUGGCUCAAGAAAUGGAAGGAAAAGCCAAUGGAACAGUAACCAGCAAAUGAUCAGCCCCAACUCACGUAUAGAAUUCUGAUCCUAGGGUUUUGUGCCCAUAAUGGGAGUAUUUAUAGCCCAAACACACUUAAACACACAGUAUUAACUUUAAUUGCUACGCUUAGCAUUUUAAUCCCAAACUUUGGAUUCUGAAACUACAUAAUUUUCUAAGAAUUAUCAUAUUUUUAUUAUAUUUUUCUGAGCACCUUUCCGGUACGCACUUUUCAAAGCCAGUACCGGUUUCUAGCACCAGUUCUCAUUAUUUCGACUUGAAACUCGUUUUACAAGUCCUAUAUAUUAUUCUAGUAAUUAUCAUGCACUUACUUAAAUUUUCCGGAUACUUUUUCGGUACGCAUUUAUACAGACUAGCAGAACCGGUAUCUGCACUUUUCUUCCGAAAAGCGACUUUUAGCACUCUUAAUCACUUACCAUAAUUAUUAAGCCUCAUAAAUAAUUAUUAGGGUCAAUUAUGGAAUCAUUUCCUAAUUUUGCAUAAUUAAUUAAUUAAAUACCUUAAUUAACGGUGCGGGUUCUUACACAAGUCGCCUGGGAAGGAUGGGCUUAAUGCUCUUUUGUUUCAAUCUCAGUGGGAUAAGGUGGGUGAGUCAGUUAUCUCUUUUGUGAAAGGUGUGUUCCUUCAUCCGGAUAAUAUCAAAGAGGUUAACCAAACUUUGAUUUGUCUGAUUCCUAAGAUUGAUGUGCCUGAAUUACUUAAGGAUUUUAGACCUAUUAGCCUUUGUAAUGUUAUUUACAAGACUGUAACUAAGAUUGUCGCUAAUAGGCUAAAAUCUCAUAUGCUCACUUGGUUAUGCCUAAUCAAUGUGGUUUUAUUAAGGGUAGACAAGGAGCGAAUAAUAUCAUUGUGGCUCAGGAAAUCAUCAAUUCCAUGAAUAAAAAGAGAGGGGGUAAGGGUUGGAUGACUGUCAAAGUUGAUUUAGAAAAGGCUUACGACAAGAUUUCUUGGGAGUUUCUGAAAGACGCGCUUGUGGAUGUUGGUUUGCCUGAGAAUAUUAUUUCUCUGAUCAUAUGUUGUGUCUCGUCAUGUACAAUGAAUUUGUUAUGGAAUGGAUCAACUACGACAUAAUUUUCUCUCAAUCAAUGUCUUCGUCAGGGAGAUCCUUUGUCUCCUUAUCUUUUCAUCAUUUGCAUGGAAAGACUUUCUUACUUGAUUAAUGUAGCAGUUCAAGAGGACGUUUGGAAGCCUAUCAGAUUGAAUAGAAGGGGACCACUGUUUUCCCAUCUAUUUUUUGCAGAUGAUCUUCUGCUCUUUACAGAAGCCACAGAAGGGCAAGCUGUUAUUAUUAAUAAGAUUCUUGAUUGUUUUUUCAGGUGUUCUGGUGAGAAGGUUAGCAAGGAAAAAACAAAAGCAUUCUUCUCCAGAAACGUGAAUCAUACCCGAGUGCAGAAUCUAAGCCAGUUGAUGGGCUACUCUCCUACAAAUGACUUGGGUAGAUACUUGGGUAUUCCUCUUCGUCAUUGCCGUGUUACAAAGAGUACGUUUGGCUAUAUCUUAAAUCGGAUGCAAGCUCGUUUAAAUGCCUGGAAUCAACGUACUCUUUCCUUGGCGGGAAGAUUAACUUUGGCUAGGUCAGUUCUUACUGCAAUUCCUCAAUAUCCUAUGCAAACUUGUAUUAUUCCUAGUGGUACGUGUGAUCGUAUUGAGAGUGUAACUAGGAAUUUCAUUUGGGGAUCAACUUCUGAACGAAGGAAAG